rnacentral:lncRNA from 1 species
CACACCCCCCCGACGUCACUGUGCGGCUAGUACCGUUGCACCAUUGCACUCGUGCUGCUGCGGGGAAGAGGGAGUUGCCGGUGCUCAAGGCCGCGCGUUUUGUAGAGGCGUAUCGGACAGGGUGAAAGGGGUGAAUGGAAGAGGAGAGAGAGGAAAGUGAAAGUUAAAGGCGAAUCACGGGCCCCGGCGAGGCCGAGGCCUCUCGCUCGCUCUCUCUCUCUCUCCUCUCGUCGCCUCGGUGGCUCUCUCUCUCUCUCUCUCUCUCUCUCUCUCUAGUUCCUUUUGCUUUGUAGCUCUGGGCUCUGGCGUUCUUGGGGUUCGUGGUAUGGUGUUGCUUUGCUCGCUCAUCCUGUUCUUUCUCUCGCACACAUCCUGUAACCUGUAGGUGCUGUGUCCGUC